GUACAAAUCGAAAGUUCAGCAAUCAAGGUUUAAUUGUCCUUUUCAAUUGGGGAAUGAGAGCACCUCUGAUAAGCCGAAUGUAGCGGAGAAAAUCAGUGUUCCAGUGAUUGCAGGGGAUGUGAUCGUGUUGGGAACCGAUGGAUUGUUUGAUAAUGUUCAUGAUUUUGAGUUAGAAACAAUUGUGAAUGCGGGGGUGGAUUCAUGGGAAUCGGAUGUGCCUGAGACAUUGGCAUGGAGGAUUGCGCAGUAUGCAU
rnacentral:misc_RNA from 1 species